rnacentral:rRNA from 1 species
CUAUACAUGCAGUCGAGCGGACCGACGGGAGCUUGCUCCCUUAGGUCAGCGGCGGACGGGUGAGUAACACGUGGGUAACCUGCCUGUAAGACUGGGAUAACUCCGGGAAACCGGGGCUAAUACCGGAUGCUUGAUUGAACCGCAUGGUUCAAUCAUAAAAGGCGGCUUCGGCUGCCGUUUACAGAUGGACCCGCGGCGCAUUAGCUAGUUGGUGAGGUAACGGCUCACCAAGGCGACGAUGCGUAGCCGACCUGAGAGGGUGAUCGGCCACACUGGGACUGAGACACGGCCCAGACUCCUACGGGAGGCAGCAGUAGGGAAUCUUCCGCAAUGGACGAAAGUCUGACGGAGCAACGCCGCGUGAGUGAUGAAGGUUUUCGGAUCGUAAAGCUCUGUUGUUAGGGAAGAACAAGUACCGUUCGAAUAGGGCGGUACCUUGACGGUACCUAACCAGAAAGCCACGGCUAACUACGUGCCAGCAGCCGCGGUAAUACGUAGGUGGCAAGCGUUGUCCGGAAUUAUUGGGCGUAGAGCGCGCGCAGGCGGUUUCUUAAGUCUGAUGUGAAAGCCCCCGGCUCACCCGGGGAGGGUCAUUGGAAACUGGGGAACUUG